rfam:Gossypium hirsutum cultivar TM-1 chromosome 20, whole genome shotgun sequence
UGUGAAAAAAAUUCAUCCAUUUCAACUAUUAAAAACUGGCAUAGCUGAUAGAAUAAUCAAAUUGUUACACAUGGUGUCCCACAUGUACCUCAUUUUAACGUAUAGGGGUCGAUUUUUAACAGUAGAAAUGAAUAAAAUUUUUAAUA